CCGCAGCCCGAGUGGUGAUCGUUUUUAUUGGGCCUAAAGCGUCCGUAGCCGGUUUAGUAAAUCCUUGGGUAAAUCGAGCAGCUUAACUGUUCGAAUUCCGGGGAGACUGCUAAACUUGGGACUGGGAGAGGUCGGAGGUACUCCAGGGGUAGAGGUGAAAUUCUGUAAUCCCUGGGGGACCACCAGUGGCGAAGGCGUCCGACUUGAACGGGUCCGACGGUGAGGGACGAAGCCCUGGGGCACAAACCGGAUUAGAUACCCCCGUAGUCC
rnacentral:rRNA from 1 species